GGCUCAUGACCUUGGGGCCAUAUUUGCCCCUGAAAUCUUCCUCUCUGGCUCUUUCCAGCUCUCUGCUUCCUGGCCACCAUGACAUGGCAGCUUUCCUCCAUCACUGCCUUCCGCCAUGAUGCUUUUGCCUCCCCACGUGCCUGAAAGCAGUGGACUGUGGACUGAAGCCUCUGAAACUGUGAGCCAAAAUAAAUCUUUCCACCUUUAAGAUGCUUUUGUCAGAUGUUUUGUCACAGUGAGGAAGAACUGACUAAUACACCCAACAUGAAAACUCACCCUCCAUCCUCAGAGGACCACUGGAUUCUCCCACCUCUUUUUGGGAAAGUCCUCCAUGAAACCCAGGCUGCUCUCAUUCCCCUCUGCCAAUCCAUACUGAGAGAUGCUGAGGGGCAGUGUCAUGGUCGCUAUUCAUUUAGUAAACUUCUGUUCUGAACUGACUCCUGGUGAUGCUGCACGUCUCGGGGUGCAGCAUGGCAUUUCAAUGAGCAUGCACGAGGCGUCGUGCUCGGAUCUGAGUGAGCGGUGACCUCAUGGCCUCGGACAGACGUCGCGUGACCGAAACCCUGUCGCCCAGCUCUUCUCAAAUGCAGAACCAGUCUCGGGCAGCCUCUGUCCUCUUCAACUUGGCCACGUGCAUGUUCAAACCACUGCUCCCAUCGUGAAGAUCAUCCCAACCAGGACGUCGGGAAAAGGACAGGGAAGGGCAGCUCUUCGUCCUUACAGGAGCUCCGUGCCAUGGCCCUGCUUCGGCCACCAGUGUCCCCUGGCCAGCCCCCCCCCCCCCUCCAGCUUGCCUCUUCUCCAGGACCCGCUUUCCGAGCUUGGGGAGGCAUUCAUUCUCCAGAAUUGCCGAGGGGGACGUGGUGAAGCCUCGCUUGCUGCCGAGUGGACCUGGCUGGGAGAUGACCACGGUGGCUGCCAGCCCCUGACAUGAACCUGCCUGCGGCAGCGCUGGACCUUUGCUUCUCGGCAGUUUGUGGCGCGGCCCGGUGCGCUACCCAGAGUUCCCACUAGAUGUCGCUGUUGCCACGUUGGAAACCUCGUACACGGACGCGUGAACCCCCGCCCCACCGCGGUUUGAUUUCAGUGGAUUUGGAACAUAAAUAUGUCCAUUUUUAAGCCACAGGGCAGAGUUUUCUCUAUAAAUUCUUGGGAUCUUUAUUUCUAUCACUUUUGUUGUUUUCUUUGCCUUGAUUGGGCAUACGCAACUCUCCGUGCAUGGUAAGUGUGUAGCUCCGGUGCAGGAUUUGAAUGGGCUUGAAAAGGGCGGAGUUCC
rnacentral:lncRNA from 1 species